rnacentral:rRNA from 1 species
CACGUAGGGGGCAAGCGUUGUCCGGAUUUAUUGGGCGUAAAGAGCUCGUAGGCGGCUCGGUAAGUCGGGUGUGAAAACUCGGGGCUCAACCCCGAGACGCCACUCGAUACUGCCAUGGCUUGAGUCCGGUAGGGGAGCGUGGAAUUCCUGGUGUAGCGGUGAAAUUCGUAGAUAUCGGGAGGAACACCGGUGGCGAAGGCGGCGGCCUGGGUUGACACUGACGCUGAGGCGCGAAAGCGUGGGGAGCAAACAGG